rnacentral:rRNA from 1 species
GACGUAGGAUGCAAGCGUUGUCCGGAUUUAUUGGGCGUAAAGAGUUCGUAGGCGGUUCGUUAAGUCUGAUGUUAAAGAUCGGGGCUCAACCCCGGGAGUGCAUUGGAUACUGGCGGACUGGAGUGCGGUAGAGGUUAGUGGAAUUCCCAGUGUAGCGGUGAAAUGCGUAGAUAUUGGGAAGAACACCAGUGGCGUAGGCGACUAACUGGGCCGUAACUGACGCUGAGGAACGAAAGCCAGGGGAGCGAAUGGG